AUGAUCACUGGAGCCGGCGACGACGGGCACGGCGUUGGCGCCGGGGCAACGGCAAUCCCGUCCGUGAUCCUGAACACGGGCCACGCGAUGCCGGUGCUGGGGUUCGGCACGGGCUCGCCAAGCAAGCCGGCGGACCUGGCGGACACCAUCGUGCACGCCGUCCGUCUCGGCUACCGCCACCUGGACACGGCGUCCAUGUACCGCACGGAGCCGGCGGUGGGCGCCGCCGUAGCCGAGUCCGUCCGCGCCGGCGCCGUGCCCUCCCGCACCGACCUCUUCGUCACCUCCAAGCUCUGGAUCUCCGACGCGCGCCCGGGCCGCGUCGUCCCGGCGCUCCGCGAGUCGCUCGCCCGCCUCGGCCUAGCCUACCUUGACCUCUUCCUCGUCCACUGGCCCGUGGCCGCCACCGCCGGCGGCCUCCCGGUAGACAAGAGCACGCUGGUGGAGUUCUACAUGGAGGGCGUGUAG
rnacentral:rRNA from 1 species